AUACGGAGGGUGCAAGCGUUACUCGGAAUCACUGGGCGUAAAGCGCGCGCAGGCGGCUAUUUAAGUUGGAUGUGAAAGCCUACGGCUCAACCGUAGAACUGCAUCCAAAACUAUUUAGCUAGAGUGCGGGAGAGGAAGAUGGAAUUAGUUGUGUAGGGGUAAAAUCCGUAGAGAUAACUAGGAAUACCAAAAGCGAAGGCAAUCUUCUGGAACACUACUGACGCUGAGGCGCGAAAGCGUGGGGAGCAAACGGGAUUAGAAACCCCAGUAGUCC
rnacentral:rRNA from 1 species